rnacentral:rRNA from 1 species
UGCGCAGGCGGAGCGAUCAGUCAGUGGUGAAAUCCUACGGCUCAACCGUAGAACUGCCAUUGAUACUGUCGUUCUUGAGUAUAGUUGAAGUGGGCGGAAUGUGUCAUGUAGCGGUGAAAUGCAUAGAUAUGACACAGAACACCAAUCGCGAAGGCAGCCCACUAAACUACUACUGACGCUCAGGCACGAAAGCGUGGGGAGCGAACAGGAUUAGAUACCCUGGUAGUCC